UGUGACUGAACAAUAUCUCUGCAUAAAUGGAAGGCCAGGGGCACUUCAACAAAAGAAAGUUCUAGUCACUGGCCUAUGUAUCUUUCAAACAGACAAUAGGGAAUUUCUGCAGAAGGGAGAAGGAUCUGGGAGGACAAAGAAGCUUGCCCGUGAGCCACAUGCCAUCCCAAGCCACCGCUGCACAAGACGGUGGCGGAAGUGAACACGACAAGGCGGAGGGUGGUGACGAGAGUCCUCCCUGGAAGUUUACAUUUUAAAAGCUUACAAGAAAAAUCACAGAGGGCCGAAACAAAGGCUGGCCAUGGGGACAGGGCGCUCUUGAAAUCAGAGAAAAGUUUAUGAGAGGGGGGGAAAAAAACCCCAAACAAACCAACUUAAUUUAGACUUAAUUGCUAACUUGGAAGAGUUCCACAGCUGAGGCUUUGAAGGUUUUUAAGAAGCUCUUCCUAUGCCGCAUCUUUAAAUAUAUGUACGUUCAAUCAACAUGAGAAAGACUAAGAAGAGUCUGCCGCAGACACCUGCUUCAAACAAUAGUGCUAAUCUCCGAGGGGUUCUAAACAGCCGCGCACCAACUUCAGAAGAAAGGACGGUGGUGAUCACAGCUUCUAGAGAAUAACGUUAAGGGGAGCAACAACCAGACCUAUGUUCAGAAAGGGACCUGCACGUUCUCCAUACCCGGGGAUGGACCAUUCCACGGACAAGGAGAGAGGCGCCUUCUCAUUCUCCCCGUGUCACCAGCCCCCUCCUGGUCAGCUCGGUCCACCACUGAAUCAUCUUUUAUCAGCACCACUCUGAGCAGGACAAGCCCAGGGACAAAGCUUUCUCCUUGCAGAAACCCCAGCGUCUCCCAGCCCUUGAAGCUGCAGUGUAACCUCUUACCGGUGUCUCGUCAUUGGAGGAUUUUCACGCCUGGCUGGUGGUCCUGAUGGUCCUGCUGAGGAUAAGUGGGGUGCUUUUGUUCUGUGCUCUAGAGAAUAACUUUUUCAUUCAGGAUAGACUACUGGUUACCAGCACUGCAGGCCUGUUCCCUCUGACUUAUUACGCAAAAUGAUUAAAAUGUACUUGGUUAAAGUGCUUGUUGCUCUAAUAUACUAAACCCAGAUUAGCUUAAGAAAUAGAACAAUAGUCCAUUUCUUCUUCUUCUUUUUUUUUUGUUUUUGUUUUUUGUUUUUGUUUUUGAGAGGGAGAUUUAAAAGGUAUGGAAGAGCCUCAGCUUGGAUCAGCUGGCUUCUGAUCACGGAAGUAUAGACUGUCAGCUGAAAAAGACCUCAGACCACAGCUAGUUCCAAACUUUUAAAGAUGAAGAAAACCUGAGGCCCAGAAGGAUCUGGUAACUUAGUUCCCAUUGCUGCCUUUUGGCAGGCUGGGGCUAGGAAGUCAGAUAUGCUGGCUUGUUCUCCUAAUCUGUAUGAACUCUGCAGAGCAAACACACACACCCUUUAAAGAUAAAAAUACAUUCCCCGAGGAGUAGGCCCUCUCCUGCAUUUAUCAGUAUCUAACAGCACUGAACAGACCCUCAGGCCAGGAUCAUCCAACAGAGAGGCUGCCACCCCUGGAAGGUCAUAGUCAAGAGGUGUGAUGGUAGGAGAACCUCAGCUGUGUUGACAUCACCAGAGCCUGGCACACAGUAGGUGCUCAUUGUAUAUUUGCUAUUGAGAUUUAGUAGGAAAAUGUAUCUAUGGCUGAGAACGAGGUG
ensembl:lncRNA